rnacentral:sRNA from 1 species
CUUGGUCAUUUAGAGGAAGUAAAAGUCGUAACAAGGUUUCCGUAGGUGAACCUGCGGAAGGAUCAUUAAAAAUAUUAUUACACCCUUUUAGGCACAAACUCUAAAUCUUAACCGUCAAAUAUUUUUUAAAAAACUUUCAACAACGGAUCUCUUGGUUCUCGCAUCGAUGAAGAACGCAGCGAAUUGCGAUACGUAAUAUGACUUGCAGACGUGAAUCAUUGAAUCUUUGAACGCACAUUGCGCCCCGGGGUAUUCCCCAGGGCAUGCGUGGGUGAGCGAUAUUUACUCUCAAACCUCCGGUUUGGUCCUGCUUCGGCCUAAUAUCAACGGCGCUAGAAUAAGUUUUAGCCCCAUUCUUUUUCCUCACCCUCGUAAGACUACCCGCUGAACUUAAGCAUAUCAAUAUGCGGAGGAAAAGAAACCAACAGGGAUUGCCUCAGUAACGGCGAGUGAAGCGGCAAAAGCUCAAAUUUGAAAUCCCCCGGGAAUUGUAAUUUGAAGAGAUUUGGGUCCGGCCGGCAGGGGUUAAGUCCACUGGAAAGUGGCGCCACAGAGGGUGACAGCCCCGUAAACCCCCUUAACGCCCUCAUCCCAGAUCUCCAAGAGUCGAGUUGUUUGGGAAU